GCAGUAAUAGCUCAGUGGUAGAGUGUAUGCUUAGCAUGUGUGAGGUCCUGGGUUCAAUCCCCAGUACCUUCA
rnacentral:tRNA from 1 species